CCUCUGCUACUCAUCUGAUCAUGCAAUCUAUACUCAACCAUGGAACCAGAUAAAACAGCAGCAUCCAGCCUCUGUACUGAUCGUCAUUGUUUGCCAGAGGAAUUGCAUGAAAUAAAUACAGAGUUUGGUGAAGAAAGCAUAGCAUACUCAGAAGUCAGAGUUCAUGGUUCUUCAAAUAUUCAGGAGAAAAAGAAAAAGAAAAAGAAAAAUGGUAAAAAAACAACAUUUAAAACUCCACAUUCCCUUUUUCGCUUUGAUAUUUUAAUGAACUAGUCAGGAAAACAAAUAUUCAUGGACUAACCUCUGAAUUGGAUUUCAUCUUUCAUACCAACACUUUUAAACUGGUCAUAGUGACCUAACGUGCUGUGUUAAGAGCAAAUUUGACACAACACUGUAAAAUGACUAUUACUCAAUAAAAAAAAUGUUAAAAAAAAUAGAGCAAAUGAGAAUGAACUGACCAUUUCAUUUGAAUAAUGAACAAUGGCUUAAAGUGAGGUACCACAGCCACAGAAUAAAGGAUGUUUCAUAUAUACUUUUCUGAUCUGAUAUUUUAGCUUCGCAAAAAGUAACAGCUCUUUUAAGGCUACAGUAUUUCUAAAAACAAAACGGAGCUUGUGAAGUAUGUCCGAAUAAAUGACAUAUCAGAAUUGUCACAAAAUAUCUGUCAGGGCCAACAGCUAAAGUAGGUGUUUUAUUCUUAACCUACUUCUGCUGCAAAGAUGGGAGAAUUUUGUUUUUUAAUUGCAGCAGAGUGAUGAAUUAAAUUCCUAGUAAGAUUUUUGAAGUGCUCUUUUGUAAUCACAAAAUUCCUUUAACAGAACAAUUUGUUAGUUCAACAACAUUCCUACAUAAAACUAUUCAUAUGUCCCCUGGCUAUUCCCAAAUCUUCAAAAUAAUUAUUAGAGUCUUCCUCGCAGGCUGAGGUAUAUGACAAUGUGGUACUCCCAUGAGCUGAGAUAUCAGUCCAAGUUAAAUUAUGAAUAUUCCUAACCAAAAUCCCUUCUAAUCCUAACUCUUUAAUCCUGUUUCCAUUGAUCAUCAUAAUAGCUUGCGUCUCUCUUUGGGCAGAGUCUCUGUGGUGCCUCGCUGCAGUGGCGUUUGCCUUGCUUUAUUUAAUCGUUCUGGCAGUCGCUGCAGUGAUGACAGCUAAGGUUUUCUGUCUAGAAGAGAUUCUGAAUACAGAGGAAUCCAAACACCAAAAUACUACUGCACAUUGCAAAAUAAUAUAGCAAAGCAGAAGGUAACGUCCUUCUCUGAAGAAAACAGAUAUUCUAUUUCUGCUGGAAAUAAAAUCUUGGCAGCAAGGAAACUGUUCUGAAGCACUGAGUUCCAGUCUUAAUCAAGACAAACAGCAAGGAAGAAUUGGAAACAUGUGGCAAUAAAUUCCUUCCUACGUUUUCCUAUACAGAAAAUAAUUACAGAGACGUUUUAACACUUUGUGUUUACUCACGUGUGCUAAACUCAACAUAUUAUAAUAAUUGGGGAUCUCUUAAUCAAACCCAAAAUACGGGCUUAAAAGAUUAUGUGAUUUUUAAAUUGUAAAUAUAUUUGCGUAUAGAAGUAAAUGCUAAUAUAUUAAAAUUUCAGACCUUGGUAAAUAAUUGGGGGGAGGGAACAUAUAGAACAUACAAACUAAAGGGUACUCAGUCACAACUGGCACUUUAAAAAUACCUAACAUUUAUUGACUGCUUCUAAUAUUCAGGAUAUUGCUUUAGUGUAUCAUAAGGCAUAUACUGCCCCAGUGCUCCUAUGAGACAGCCCUAGUAUGAUUGUUGUCAUAUUAAUAAAGAAACUGAGGCCCAGAGAGGAUGUGAAAAUUUUCCAAAGUUGUAUAACUAGUAAGAAAUAGAAACAUGAUUUAAGCCAAGAUAGUUUCACGCUAAAAGGCAUGCAUAUAACCACUAUGCUGGAUUAAAAAAAUCACAUCCAAUCAUGUUACAAGAAUAUUGCUUCUUUAGAAAUAGUCAGGACUGCAGAUUUGCAUUUUUUUCCUCUGGAUAUAUCUUUCAGAAAGGAACACAUGAGAAAAAGAACUUUCAAGAAUAAAAUAUUAUAAUAGCUUUUCAUAAAGAGUGGCUAUUUCUAUACUAACUAUCCUCUGAAUGAUGAAAAAAUAAAGAGAUUAAUAGAAGUGAUUUUUUUUCCCCUUUAGUAGACUCCAGCAAGUUUAAAGAAUAUAGGUCUCCUUUAUAUCUUAGUUCUCAUCCAUUAUGUGACU